rnacentral:rRNA from 1 species
GGAUUAGGCAUGCAAGUCGAACGAGGGAGCAUUCCGAAAGGGAUGCAAACCGAGUGGCGUAAGGGUGAGUAAUGCAUUGAUAACCUACCUCCAAGAUGGGAAUAACAACGUUCCAAGCAAUUGGGGCUACCGAAAGGGUUGCUAAUACUCAAUAAGAUUAUUGUUGCUUCGGCAAUAAUAGUCAAAUAGGCGGAAUCGAAAGGUUCCGCUUGCUUGAAGAGGGGUCAAUGUCCUAUCAGCUAGUUGGUGGGGUAAUAGCCCACCAAGGCGAAGACGGGUAGCCGGCCUGAGAGGGUGGUUGGCCACACUGGGACUGAGAUACUGCCCAGACUCCUACGGGAGGCUGCAGUCGAGAAUCUUUCGCAAUGCCCGAAAGGGUGACGAAGCGACGCCGCGUGCGGGAGGAAGGCCUUCGGGUUGUAAACCGCUGUCGGGAGUUAAGAAAUGCAAGGAUGUUAAUAGCGUUCUUGCUUGACUAAGGCUCCGGAGGAAGCCACGGCUAACUCUGUGCCAGCAGCCGCGGUAAUACAGAGGCGGCAAGCGUUGUUCGGAAUUAGUGGGCGUAAAGAGCACGUAGGCGGCUGUGUAAGUCGGUUGUGAAAGCCUUCCGCUCAACGGAAGAACGGCAUCCGAUACUGCAUAGCUUGAGUGUGGGAGGGGAGAGUAGAACUUCUGGUGGAGCGGUGAAAUGCGUAGAUAUCAGAAGGAACACCGGCGGCGAAGGCGACUCUCUGGUCCAUAACUGACGCUGAGUGUGCGAAAGCUAGGGGAGCAAACGGGAUUAGAUACCCCGGUAGUCCUAGCCGUAAACGAUGGGCACUAGUAGAGGGGUUUU